GACAAAAUGGCAUCUGACACGGAAGUCUGUAUGGAGCAAAGGGUCUUUAUCAUUGUCUUGAGACUGCUGAACACAUUGCUGUUACCUGCUCCAGCUGACAUCUGUCAUCGCUAUAAAGGAAUAAGACCUUCAUCUUCUGUGCAGUUGCUUCAGUUUCAGAAUUGGUCACACAGAAAGCAGGGAAAACUGGGAACCCUUCUUUUUUGGAUUGGCAUCUGAACCAAUAAACACGAAUUAAUGUCCAAACACUACCUGCAACGGUACAAGCCUGUUUCUCAACUGAGGAUCAUAUUGGCUUGCAUAUUUAUAGUAGGAAUGAUCCACCUGCAACCACUGUGAAUACAGUGAAUACUGUGAAUACACGGUAUUCACAGCUGGACUGCAGAAGUAAGUCGA